rnacentral:lncRNA from 1 species
GAGGUAAUUGGCGCUCAGGCGCUCAAUCAGGAGCGCUCAGGCGCCAAUUCCUUUCUAGCAUCAUGUAAACAGCGAAUCAAUUGGCGCUCAAGCGCUCAACACGAGCGCCUGAGCGCUCUCUACAUGCUAGAAAGCCUCUUGACCUUCUUCUUAACUCCCCUUUAAGCCUCCCUUCAAUUUUCCAAGCCUUUUGACCUUCUUUCUUCAUCAGUUUUCAGAC